rnacentral:rRNA from 1 species
UGCCCACUGAUUGAAGGGCCGCGGUAAUUUGACCGUGCAAAGGUAGCAUAAUUAUUAGUCUUUUAAUUGGAGGCUGGAAUGAAUGGUUAGACGAGAUAUACUCUGUAUGAACUUAAUUAUUAGGUUAAAAAGCUUAAAUUUUUUUUUGGGACGAGAAGACCCUAUAGAUUUUAAUAUUUUUAUUGGGGUGAUAGGAAGAUAAUAAACUUUUAUUAGAUCCAGUUGAUUAUAAGAUUAAAUUACCUUAGGGAUAACAGCGUAAUCUUUUUUGAGAGUUCAAAUCGACAAUAAGGGUUGCGACCUCGAUGU